ACUUACUUUUUUUUUUUUUUUUUUUUUUUUUUUGGUUUUUUGCGAGACAGGGUUUCUCUGUAUAGCCCUGGCUAUCCUGGAACUCACUUUGUAGACCAGGCUGGCCUCGAACUCAGAAAUUCGCCUGCCUCUGCCUCCCGAGUGCUGGGAUUAAAGGCGUGCGCCACCACGCCCGGCUAGAGGGUAUAUUUAUGCACACAACAUGCAUAUUUUCCUCAUUAAGUUGCGGAGCCAUUUCCAUGUUUAUUCUGGAAGUCAUCAACUUUGUUGCUAACAAGUCCUUACUGUUUUGCUCCUUACGCAUUGUCUUGAGAGACUUAUUAAUUAUUUUUAUGGAGCCGAAGCAGCGAGCUGAACAAGCUUUUGCAGGUAGAGCGUGGCUGGCUUGUGGAGGAAGCACUGGACUCAGGUCUGAACUGGCCAGCCAGUUUCUUUGUAGGAUUCCAGCUUAAAGGAAAGGGGGGCCUAGGACAGGUUUGCCGGGAGGAGCAAUUUCCACCGCUCUGUAGCUCGUCCUGAGGGCUGUGCCACUUUGGACCUUGCUUCAUUUUUCAAGUUGAGCUCCUGUCGUUUUAAGAACUGUAACUUGUCUUUUUUAUUGCAUGUGCUUGCUUUUAGGAAUUUCACGUUUCUGAAGAUUUUAAUAAAAUGAAUUUUAUCAAGACCUAUCCAGCCCACCAGAACCGCGUGUCUGCUAUCAUCUUCAGCCUGGCUGCCGAGUGGGUGAUCAGCACUGGCCACGACAAGUGUGUGAGCUGGAUGUGCACGCGCAGCGGGAAUAUGCUUGGCCGCCACUUCUUCUCGUCGUGGGCUUCCUGUUUGCAGUAUGAUCUGGACACUCAGCACGCCUUUGUUGGCGAUUACUCGGGACAGAUCACCCUGCUGAAGCUGGAGCAGAACACUUGUUCAGUUAUCACGACCCUCAAGGGACAUGAAGGUAGCAUCGCCUGCCUUUGGUGGGACCCUAUCCAACGGUUACUCUUCUCGGGAGCAUCCGACAACAGCGUCAUCAUGUGGGACAUCGGGGGACGGAAAGGCCGGACACUCCUCCUUCAAGGCCACCAUGACAGAGUGCAGUCACUGUGCUACCUGCAGCUCACGAGGCAGCUCGUCUCCUGCUCGGCAGAUGGUGGCAUUGCAGUGUGGAACAUGGAUGUUAGCAGAGAAGAGGCUCCUCAGUGGUUAGAAAGCGACUCCUGUCAGAAGUGUGAGCAGCCCUUCUUCUGGAAUAUAAAACAGAUGUGGGACACAAAGACCCUGGGCUUGAGGCAGCAUCACUGCAGGAAGUGUGGGCAGGCCGUCUGUGGGAAGUGCAGCAGCAAGCGGUCCAGUUACCCCGUCAUGGGUUUUGAGUUCCAGGUUCGAGUUUGUGAUUCCUGUUACGACUCCAUCAAAGAUGAGGAGUGAGUGCUUGCUGCCGGACUUCUCUAGCAACAUUUCAUGAAGGAAAACAUAACAUUUCCCAUAUGUCCAUGGACAUUGCAAGGGGACUGAUGGUGACCUGUGGGACAGAUCGUGUUGUGAAGAUAUGGGAUAUGACUCCUGUGGUGGGCUGCAGCCUGGCAACUGGAUUUUCUCCACACUGAUCCCAGAGCUGGGUGAUGUCUGCUACACGUGAUGCAUAGCAUCCUCCAUGAAUGGAGACCCUUCAUGUAGCUCAACAGCCACUGUCGUGUAAAUGGACAUUAGACGCCUAAAAAAACAAAUCAAUAUUUUUUAAAAGAAAAAAAUCUAUAUAAAGGUGUGUUUGGGGGUAUUUGUGGAAAUUGUCUAAAAGGUCUGUCCACAACGGACUCCUAAGGAGUAGAAUUUCCUCAGCAAAACUGCCUCAUGAACAUUGAACCAGUGGGUAAGGAGGGAACAAUGAAGGGUUUAGAAGGAAAAAUUUUUAAAUGAAAAAGGUUAGUGCUUAGAACUUCUUAAAUGCAAACCCAUGAGCACACAUGGAGUCUCCCGAGAGGGUCCUUGAGGCCCCUGAGAGUACUCAGAUACACAACCAGGGGCUGGGGGAGAGCUUUCUGUCUUUCUUCAGGGGAGGUGGCCAGAUGUGAGAAACCUAUGCUUGCCAUACAAAUGUCCUCUACACCGAGUUACUGAUAAACCUCAUCAAGGUACCUGUUCUGUCAGGUGGUGUCCUAAUCUGCUCUUGGGUUUGGCUCACUCUAGUUGUUUCUGUCCCAGCCAGUGUCCCCUGGGUGAACCUUUACAGCUGUCAUAUAACAAGACAGAGCACAUUCAUCUCCUUCUCCCAAACCUGCCCUGUGGACAAAGCUUUCUUUUAUGGUGCUGAUGUACAAGCCUCCUGACAUUUUUUUUCUUUGUAGCUAGUCAUGACCCAUGGCAAACUCAGCUACCACCAUGGUGGUGAUGCGUGCCAGCAGCCUACUCCAUGGAACAGCCCAGUCUUGCUAACUGAUACAUUUGUUUGUAGUCCCAAGACCAAGCCCUUGUUAUAUGGUAGCAAGUUAUGCCCCUCAGAAGUACUCUGGCGCUUCUGUAUUAUGUUGUAGCUGUGACCAGUGUUAGUCAUGUGUCAUAGAAAGAAAUUGGUGGCCCAUUGCUAAAAUUAUCAGUCAGGUCUUGUACAGUAAUCCCUAACCUGCAAAUCACUUACAUAGCAUUUAGAAAAGCUGUUGUAUGAAAUGUGUUGUCCAAUUUUUGGCCAGAUUACCAAGAGAUGUUUGUGUGUGUUUGUGUAAACAGAAAGUAGCACAUGAACUAUUCCAGUAGAACCGUGGGAGCCUGCUGCUUGCCGGUAGGAAAGGCCUACUGCUUUAACGGAUGAAUAAUGACUACCUACAGCAUCCGUGUGACUCUUGCUAAUGGGUAUGGAUUUAAAAUCUCACUGUAGCACUGUGUUGGGUUACAUCAAGAUCAAGGCCAUUCUGCCAGAGAGGACUAAGGCUUUAUCACUUUACCAACAUGGCUAACAAGGAGGUGGCGCACGCCUUUAAUCCCAGCACUCGGGAGGCAGAGGCAGGCAGUUUUAUGAGUUCGAGGCCAGCCUGGUCUACAAACUGAGUUCCAGGACAGCCAGGGCUACACAGAGAAACCCUGUCUCAAAAAAACAAAAAACAAAAAAAAAAAAAAAAAAAAAAACAGGCAGAAAAGCUAUGGGGUCACAAUGGAUAAAACACAAACAAUGAGGAAAGGAAAGGCAGCCAGGCAUAAUGGGCUCUGUAUUUACAGAGAGCUCUUGACUUGAGAAAUAAGACCAAAGGAUGUUUUGCCCCCUUUAUGUUUUAUGUAGCGUCACUUUUAACUGCUGGUUUUUCAUUGGAUUCCCCUUACACUAUACAAGAUGUGGAUUGCUCCAGUGCUUUGGACAAGAGAGUGGGUGACGUCGUGAAACCACAAUGUAGAAUGCUCUCCUCGCUGCUUGGUUUAGCUCAGCCUGUGGUUCUGCCCACGCAAGGGAAACAGACCAUGGCGGAGUCAUUGCCCUGUGGAAUAGUGCUGAGCCAGGCGUGGGUUUAUUUUCUUAAAAGCAUCUGUAAAAUGUGACUUUUGGAUAUCUGUGGUAGAUCAAACUGAAUAUUCCCUCUCCUUUUUAAAGCCUCCUGAUAGAAAACCCCGUGCCUCAUAGAGAGCAUGUAGUGGUUGGUUUGAGCCUUUUAAGAGGCUAUUAGAAAUCAAGGAGGAAAAAUUAUAUUUAAAGAAGAAUUAGAGGGAGGGACCUUAGGAGGGAAUGCAGGCUGAAUGCACUUCGCUCCUCACUUGAGCCUGUGGUCACAUCUCCUUUCAAAAACGUGCUUGCCAGGCUCCCCUAUGUGUCAGGUAGCAAAGGGGGCCAUAUUUUUUAUAGAGGGUGAAGAUUAUAUUCUCAAGUUUACUGACUGAAGGGACAAUAAGGCUCAGGCUUUUUGCCUUAUUUGGAUUCUGUUGCUAAACACAUCACUUAAGAGAGUUCCUCAAGUAACAACUAUGUCCUUUCCAUCCCAGAAUUCUCAAGCUAAUUUGUACAGACAAGGAUCAAGAAGUAGAGGGUGUUAGACAAGAGUCUUGAACUUAGAUCUAGUAUGUAAUAAAGUGAUGCCGAGUCUUUAUUCUCAAUGUGUUCUUUACUGGUCCUUUAUUAGUUGGUCCUAGUGAUAGCAAUAGGCCUGUAUGUUGGUAGAAACCACUUCUUAUUCACUAGACUGUAAUUGUUUACUAUGUCCCAGUUUUAACUUGCUGCCUAGUGGGCAGCAAUAGACACUGUUGCUGUAGACUAUGCUUUGUUCUCCCGCACCAGUGAUUCAGUUUGUUAACAUCUAUAUUUAUUAAACUUGUCAAAAUUGAUAAAUAGAGUAGCAGCUCAGACCCAAGAAGAUAUUUUUGAAAAUCAGGGUUUCAUUAAAAGUACUUUCUAAUAUCUCCUAAAUGACAAGCAUCAAGUUACUGUUAAUGACAGUGAUCUGCUCAUUCUACAUGGGAGGCUUAACAAAUAAGUAAUAUAUGCUGACUUCUGCAAGUGUCUGUUGCUUAAUUGUUAAUUGUGAGCAGAUUAUUGAAUGCCUCAUCUAUUUUCUGCAGUUUACUACACAAUAACUCUUUGAAUAAGUUGAAGUUUAAUCGUGCAACAAAUUUCUAUCAGAGAACAAUGUAAAGUAUUUUACUCUGUAGCCUUUUUUUGUUUUUUGACUUGGGAAGCAAAAGGUGACAUUAAGUAAGUCAAUGUGUCCUUGUACAACUGUGUUUCCAUAGAGUAGGAUGCCUUGUGUAUCCGAGAGACGCUGCAAAUUUUUGUUCUUUCUACUUGUGGGUUCCAUUUUUGUGGGCUUUUUUAUUUUAUUUUUAGUUUUAGUUUUGAGAAUACACAUAUAACAAUAAAAUACCCCUUGCUUGUUCCUUAA